AAUCAACGCUGGCGGCGUACUUAACACAUGCAAGUCGAACGAGGAGCUUCGGUGUAGCAAUACAUCGGAGCUUCUAGUGGCGUACGGGUGAGUAACACGUGGGCAACCUGCCCUUGAGUCCGGGAUACCCUCUCGAAAGGGAGGCUAAUACUGGAUACGUUCUUUGGAUCGCAAGGUCUGGAGAGGAAAGGUAGCGAAAGCUGCCGCUCUUGGAGGGGCUCGCGGCCAUCAGCUAGUUGGUGAGGUCACGGCUCACCAAGGCUAUGACGGGUAGCUGGUCUGAGAGGACGACCAGCCACACGGGAACUGAGACACGGUCCCGACUCCUACGGGAGGCAGCAGUGGGGAAUUUUCCGCAAUGGGCGAAAGCCUGACGGAGUGACGCCGCGUGGGGGA
rnacentral:rRNA from 1 species